rnacentral:lncRNA from 1 species
UUUUUUUUAACUGAACUUGACUUUUUUUUCAUCGUUUUUUUUUAUAUCAUAUAGUAAAAAAAAUAUAGUUUCGGAGAAAAACCAUAUUAUUAAACUUUAUAAAGUCCAUGAACAUGUUCACGGGUUUAGUUGGUUGACCUGGUUCGCAGCCCUAACGAGUUUAGUUUUUUUUCUUUUUUUAAUUUUUUUUCAACAUCUUGG